GGAAGCUAAACAUUUCCUCUACUGUGGGAAGUGCUGUCGUGGGCAAUGGAGAAAAACAGAGCGCCCAAGGAAAUGCUCCUCGGGAACGAUAGCUAUUGACAGGAAUACUGUGAUUACUACUAAAAGUAAGGACCUCCAUUUGAAUGGCUGCUUGGUGAGAGCACAUCCACUUGUUCCUCUGUUCUGUGCUGGAAUAUUGGUUCGGCAAGAACACGAAAGGAAGUGUAUUGUGGAAUUGGCAGUUGAAAGUAUUAAAAAAAAAAAAAAAAAGGUAACUGAUCUGUGAGUCUGAAAAACAUCUGAAUUUUUUAAGUAAU
rnacentral:lncRNA from 1 species